CCUACGGGAGGCAGCAGUUAGGAAUAUUGGGCAAUGGGCGAAAGCCUGACCCAGCGACACCGCGUGGGGGAAGAAGACCUUCGGGUUGUAAACUCCUUUUAUUGGGGAAGAAUAAUGACGGUACCCGAUGAAUAAGCCCCGGCUAACUACUUGCCAGCAGCCGCGGUAAU
rnacentral:rRNA from 1 species